AUACGGAGGGUCCAAGCGUUAUCCGGAAUCAUUGGGUUUAAAGGGUCCGCAGGCGGUCAAUUAAGUCAGAGGUGAAAGCCCAUCGCUCAACGAUGGAACUGCCUUUGAUACUGGUUGACUUGAGUUAUACGGAAGUAGAUAGAAUAAGUAGUGUAGCGGUGAAAUGCAUAGAUAUUACUUAGAAUACCGAUUGCGAAGGCAGUCUACUACGUAUAUACUAACGCUGAGGGACGAAAGCGUGGGGAGCGAACAGGAUUAGAAACCCUUGUAGUCC
rnacentral:rRNA from 1 species